rnacentral:ncRNA from 1 species
GUGCGAAGAAGGUGUACCGUGAGGAGUGCUGGAGCGCAUAGAAGUGAGAAUGCCGGUAUGAGUAGCGAAAGACAGGUGAGAAUCCUGUCCACCGUAAGACUAAGGUUUCCAGGGGAAGGCUCGUCCGCCCUGGGUUAGUCGGGACCUAAGGAGAGACCGAAAGGUGUAUCCGAUGGACAACAGGUUGAUAUUCCUGUACUAGAGUAUAUAGUGAUGGAGGGACGCAGUAGGCUAACUAAACCAGACGAUUGGAAGUGUCUGGCCAAGCAGUGAGGUGUGAUAUGAGUCAAAUGCUUAUAUCUUUAACAUUGAGCUGUG